rnacentral:sRNA from 2 species
AACCUAGAUCAUCCCAAAAACAUGCUACAUACAGAAAUUUAAUCAUUCUUGCUGUUGUCAGUGAAAAGUCCUAGUAAUUUAAUGAAAUGUCUAAAUGCCACUGUGCCCAGAGGUUUGGUUAAUCUGUCUGCUAUCAUAUCCUCAGUGGGAAUGUGGUUAAUUGAAAUAAUGCCUUUGUUCAGUUGCAUGUGAGAAUAGUGGAAGUGAGUGUUGAUAUGCUUGCUGUGUGCUGUGAUUGUGGCAAUGAUAGCUAGAUUGAUUGAAUCUUUAUUAUCUGCUCUGAUAGACAAGGGGUUCUUUGCUGUAAUAAAUUCUAAUUCCAUCAUCAUAUUGUGCAACCAUGUUGCUUCAUGUACUGCUUUGCUGAGUGCCAUGUA